ACUAUGGUAAUUAGCACCGGUUCAAACCGGUGCCAAUUAACAAAGGCAAAAAAAAUAAAUAAAUAAAAAUAAAUCGGGGUAUGCGUUACUCUGCUUCUUCAUUCUCUUUCCUGUUCUUUUUCCAUUUCCAUUCUCUCUCUUCUCUCUCCUCAUAUGCUCUCCUCUCUCACCUCAACCAAACCUUCAGCCGCAGCCGCAACCGCAACCACAACCACCAUGCACCGCUCACAGAUUCUUUCUCCCCUUUUCUUUUCGUGCUCUCUCCUCUAGCCUCCUUUUACCCUAUCAAUCGUUUUCUAGGGUUUAUCGCCCUUGUUAUACCUCUAAAUCUCAAUCUCAUAUCCAAUCACCUCUCUCUAAUUUCUAGGGUUUCGAAUUGCAUUGAUGCUGCAAUAAUUGGAGGCUGGAGUUGGUGGUGAUUAAAUUGAUGUUGUUGAACACAAAGAGGCAAACUAAUAUCAGCAGGCUACACUUCUUCUUUCUCGAGGUUUCUUCAUCUUGCUCGAUCUUUCACUCUAUGUUACUCUCCUAAUUAAAGUACUUUUCGGUUUUUUAAUUUCUGUAAUUUCGAUCAAUUUCUGUCGUUUUCUAAGAUAUUAGGGUUUAUUACUCUUAUCUGGGUUUUCAUUUCAUUUUUUAUUGGCCAAUUUCUGAAGCAUGCAUAUCAUUUUAUUUGUUAUUCAUAUCAUUUUUGAUAAUCUUGAAGCUGAUUGAUGGAAAUGAUUGAUCUGGGUGUUUGUAAUUCUUGUUAAUUUUGUGUUUUUCUAGUGUUACUUUAAUAAUUAUGCGUUUGUUUGUGAAAAUAGUUGGUAUAAUUGCUUAUUCUCUUUAGAUAUAUGAAGAUCUGUCAUGAUCAGUUUUGUGGGUUUUUUUUUAUUGAAUUAGUUUUGUGACCGAUUUGAAUUAGAGAUCUAUUCAAUUAGUUUGUUUGUUUAAUUGGAUGGUUAGAAGUUUAGAACAUAUACGAUGUGUAAGUUGUGCUUGAUUGCGAGGGUUGUUAUCUGUUUUUGAAACACUAGUUUAGUUGUUUCUCCGAGUUUCGUCAAUUUGAUGUAGGCUGCGAAUGUCAUAUGCUCCUAGAUCUUGAGUUUUUGUUUUUGGUGGAAUUGAAGUGUGAUUGCUAUUAAUUUGUGUGUUUAUUUUGAGGAAUUGAACUAUAUAGCUGAUAUUAUUUGAAAAUUUUGAUCCUUCAACUUGUUAAUUGUAUUAAAAUUCUGACCAUUGAUUUGGAAAACGAUGAUUAUUCUUUUGUAAUUGAGCUGUUUUCUGUCAAAUUUUGGAAAUAUGAAGUUUUUCUAUGUGGGUAUUUCUGGUGUUGAUGGAAUUUCGACUAGGUUACUGCAAGAUUUUGGUUUUUUUGGGGAGGGUAUUGGUGGUAGGGAAGGGGUUUCUAUAUUUUGAUUAUGUGGGGAUUUGCGAUUGAGGAAGCGGUGUUUUGGGUUGCUGGCAUUGUUUGGAACAGUAUGAGAAUUCUUCUCUGCUGGUGAUGUUGGUACCAUUGAUGAACUUGAGUUGAUCUUGUGGAGUUGUGGGUGCUCUCGAUUGUUGGGAUUGAACUUGCUUGUUGGCUGGCUGUGUAAUUUUUGGCUGGAAAUCGACAAGGCGGCUUAUCUGCUCAGGCAAUAUUUCUUCAAUAAUCUCCUUGAUCGGCUUAGUACAAGGCCUUUAGCCUAAUUGAGAAGAAAUGGCUUGCUUUUCAGCUUUUGUGUGCAUUAAGCAGAGCCACGAGCAUGAUAUUUGUCAUGGGGAAGAAGGCUCUGUUAUCUCGCACCUGAGGUAGGAUACUGUAGGUAAUAUACCCCAAAAAAUAAUGUCGGGUCUUGCUAGUUGAGAGUUCAUGAAUUUUUACUCAUCCUGAUAUGGUUGCUGGGAAAAGGAAAUAUGUCACAUCCAAGUAUGCAAAUUAAACUAUAGAAUCAUGAUUGUGAAAAAAAAAUUGUCAGACUAGAAAAAGGAGGUGCAAUUCAUAAGCCGGAAAGUGGAGGUGAUGCUAAUACAGAGAAAAAAUAGAACAAAGUUAAUCAGGCUGAAAAUAGAAAGAAAUUAUCUGAGGAAAAAAGGCUCAUGAAGGAGCAAGAGAGGUCGCGUAAAGCAGAAUUGAAGGAUGAAACCGCAAAACAGAAACAGUUGGCAAAAGAGAGGAAGAAGUUAGAGAAACAUAAGUUUAGUGAGAAAGACAUUGUGGCUAUGAUUGAUCCAAAGGUUCUGUCAGGUUCAGUUGGAGGACCACUGCUAACCAUGUUUAGCCAGAAAGAUCUCAGGUCUGAAAUUUUUUCAAGUCCCUUUGAAAAAUCAAUUGUUUUGUGGAUAGAGACUCCCAAAGACAUUUCUCAGGUAAAUGGAACUAUAACUUGUUGAUAGUUUGUGUUGAUGAAAGUUAAUUCGAAGAUGCAAGUUGACUGACUCUUUUCCCUUAUGAACCUGAACCUUAUACUUCUUAUGUUUUAAGGUCCUUUCUUUUCAUUUUUUUCAUCGAGUAAAUCUGGUUUAUCUUUGAUGCACUAUCCCACUAGUCUUCUUUAAUUUUUUGCGUGAUUGUUUUUGUAGAAUGAUUUAGGGCUCUGAAUGUGAGUAAUGUUAAGAACCGUCUUUGGGAGAUUCUUAUUUCUGCUGUUUUCUGGAUAAUUUACUUGAAAAGGGAUGAUGGGUACUUCUUAGAUGUAUGAAUAUGUAAUAGACUAGGUUUUUCAGAUUAUAAGUUCUAUUGAACCAGAAAUUUAAAGAUUAAAGUUUGAGUCUUUGAUUGAUAAUGGCAGAAUUUUGGAUACAAAAGUGAUAGGUUGCUUUAGGCUAUUAUUCUCUUGAUAACUUUAGGUUAUUACUCUUUAGGUUGUCACUGGAAAAGGAUUUAAAGACUGUCCAUAAAAUGCAGGACCUAUCUUCUUAAUAAUGUCCAUUCUUUCAACUCGAAGCUCCUUUAAAGAGGGUAACAAUCCUAGUGGUGGCAAGCUUUCACAGCUCACACAAUCCAUCACCUAUUGAACCUAUGUACUUAUUCAUCCCCCUCCAAAUGGUGUAAUAUUAUUUGUUUAACAAAGACUCUUCAGCUGUUUUUGUUACUCUAGCUUGCUAUAUUGUUUAUUUCUUCACUGCAUAAGGACAUCAGAGCAAUAACGAGCAAGACAACCCAGCAAACAGGAGCACAUCAGAGCGCCACCAGCACAACAUCACAGCAGCUCACCAGUACCGCAACACAGAGGACCACGCAGCAUAACCCAGCAAACACAGCAGCCUGACCAGCAAGCAACACAACAAUACAGUAGAGCAGCAAACACCGAGCACUACAGCAGAGCAGCAAACACCCAGCACAGCCUAACUAGAGCAGAACAGAAACACAGCAGCUCAAGAACUUAAACCAGUCACCCAGCCAGCCUGAACAUAACAGAGACACAGCCACAGAAGCAAACAGAUGCCCAGCCAGCAUGAACAGGCAGAGGCACAGCAGCGCAGCAGAAUAGAAACAACAGAGCAGUCUGGAUUAUUUAAUUUUUUUUGGACGAAAAUUGUAAUAUUACAGCCAUUUUAAAUGAAAA